rnacentral:rRNA from 1 species
UACGUAGGGUGCAAGCGUUGUCCGGAAUUAUUGGGCGUAAAGAGCUCGUAGGCGGUCUGUCACGUCGGCUGUGAAAACCCGAGGCUCAACCUCGGGCCUGCAGUCGAUACGGGCAAACUAGAGUGUUGCAGGGGAGACUGGAAUUCCUGGUGUAGCGGUGAAAUGCGCAGAUAUCAGGAGGAACACCGGUGGCGAAGGCGGGAUCCUGGGCCAGUACUGACGCUGAGGAGCGAAAGCGUGGGGAGCAAACAGG